AACAACUUAUGAUUCAAACUUUUUUGCCAAUUUCCUAAUUUAUUUUAUUUUAUUACAGCUUAUGGACGAAAUCCUCACACUGAUGUCUAACCUGUAAUGAAAGCUGAUGUUUCGACCUUUCAAUAGAGAGCUGAUUUUGGAGAAUGGCUUACUCCUGUGACUGAAAAACUCUCUCUGGAAGGUUGAUGGAGCAUAAGCAUGGUCUGAUCAGCAACUCCAGUGCAAUUUGAAUAUAUGUAAUCUGCUGACAAUGAUGUGCCCAACCAUAAUCGGUGCUGGAGCCUUGGGAAGAGAGAUUGUGUCAUCACACAGUAUAUAGUCCGACAAUGACUGACUUUGAUGAAUCUGUGAAAGAAGAAAAUAGUUUUUUCACCUCUUAAUUUGCAAAAUGCACACAAAAAAGUAGAAUUUAACCCACUGAAGUUGUUAGAUUGUCUGGGCUUCGGGGGAGGUUUUUGGUUUUGCUGGGAGUGGGGGAUGUUGAUGAAUUAGUUGAUAAUCAUGUACAGUGAUAAGGAGGAGUUAAUCACACACAUGAACUCUUGAUUUUGAGAAC
rnacentral:lncRNA from 1 species